GACCCCUUCUUCUUCUUCUUCGUUUUUUACGCCCCCACUCCCCAUAUCCUCCUUCUUCAUUUCUGCACCACCGCAGCACCGCCCGCCACCCCCCAGAAGGUUGUUUUGACCGCGAGGGAGUUUGGUGGAAUUGAAGAGGAUGUUGUGAUUGGUUGAUUUACCUGAGGAUGUAUCUACCAUGGGAUAUUUGGGUUUUGAAGGAUUCAGAGAAUUAUAUAUGAGUAGUACAGUAUUGAUCUGAUCAUAUUUGACCUCGGCUUAGAUUUUGUCAAUCUAGACCUCUGGAGCACAGGGAAGGGAAAAUUCUUAUGGAUGUAAAUGCUGAAAGUCUUGAAUGGUAUGAUGUGGAGAACCAGUGUUUCAAGAGAAUAGACAAUCUAAGUUGUUUUGGAAGAAGGAGCACUUAUUUCUUCAAGUUGACAACUUGUUCAAGUGAAGAAGUUUGUAGAAAAAGAUUUUGGGCGAAACGGGAAUUGAAUUUGGAAAGGCGUAAAGAGCAUACAAGGUAUGUAAAGCUAUCCCGAUUCUUCUUUUGGCAUGCCCUAGGUGUACUAGGAUCGGAUUUGAGCCUCGAAAAGCGUUCUGCUCAUCGGAAUCCGCAUUUGAAAAUACCCCUUUUUCAUUCAAUGGAAUUGAACCCUAUAAGUAUGCUUUAUUGAAAGAAUUGUGCAAACUUCCGCAAAUUGUUUAGAAAAUUAUGAAAUGCCCCUAGAACCUCCGUAGGUGACUUUAUAAGCUUUAAAUACGUAAUUUGAGCCCAUCGCUUCGUUUGUCCCGAGGUGGGUCCACUAUUUCCGAUUUUACCCUUUUAGUGGUUAUGACUUGUCUUCGAGCGUUUUUUUUAAGAAAUGUUUUAACUACUCUUGUAACUACUAAAUAAAACUUGUUUUAAAUAUUCUAUUAAGUCUUGUAAACUGUUUUGGAACUUGGAAACGAACUUAGAAAGAUUAUGCUUCUGUAAUCCAUUAUGACAUUCGAAAUUCACUUAUUAUGAUUCCGUCCGAUUUUAUUGAUUUGAUUCGUCAUUUGAUAUGCCUCAUUGAGUCUUUGGAAAUAUAUAAGGUAUUUUAUUGCAUUUAGUUUCUCACUACUCCAUUCGUGGAUGCCUCAACGUUUCCCACACUGAGCCCGGGCCAGGAUAUGUUCUCAAGCGUCUUCCACUGCAUUGUUCGCCGUGCCUCGAUGUGAGGGGGCAGGUAUACAUGUACAUGGGUUGUGGAGUAUGCUGUGCCAUGUACACUAUUCUGAUAUGAUAUGAUAUGAUCUGAUAUGGCCAUCUGAUAUGAUAUGCUAUGUUACGGGGUUAUUCCCCUUUUCUGAUCCUUAUGUGUUGUGGCACUAGUGUCGGGGGGUGACCACGUUCUGUCUGCCGAGUCCCCUGGAAGGGGCCGGAUAUGAUAUGGCAUAUGUUUCUGUACACACUCUUCAUGUUUUGAAAAUAUGCAUUUGAUACUCUGGACAUCUCACUCACAUUUCUGUACGUUCUGUUCCGGUUAUGAUUUUGUUUCGUAAUGGGACCAGGUAUGACAUACGUUUCCUGUAAGUACUAUUUAUGCUUUAUGAUCAGCAUUUUGCUAAUCUGGAUAUUCCGUUCAUUUUCUGUAUCUCCUGUUCCGAUUAUGACUUUGUUUACUACGUUCCAUGCUUUACAUACUCAGUACAUAUUUCGUACUGACCCCCUUUCUUCGAGGGCUGUGUUUUCAUGCCGCGCAGGUACAGACUACAGAUUUGCUGACCCACCUGCCUAGGACACCUAUUCUGCUAUUCUGGAGCGCUCUUUUGUCCAGAGCCUAUACUCUGGUACAGUCUGCUGCUGUUGUAUAUAUGUACGCUAUUCAGGGGUACGACGGGGCCCUGUCCCGUCUUAUGAUUCUGUUAUGUUCUGUAGAGGUCUGUAGACAUACAUGUGGGUUCUGUAUAUGUUUUGGGUUGCUAUGAUUUGUGAUAGCCUUAUCGGCUUCCAUGUGCUAUAUAUGUUCCUCUGUGACACUAGUAACGUCGACUGACUUUUAUAUUUAUAUAA